UUCGCAAUGCCCGAAAGGGUGACGGAGCGACGCCGCGUGUGGGACGAAGCCCUUCGGGUUGUAAACUCCUGUCGAGGGGGAAGAAGGGCCGCGAGGCCUUGAUUGAUCCCUGGAGGAAGCACGGGCUAAGUUCGUGCCAGCAGCCGCGGUAAGACGAACCGUGCGAACGUUAUUCGGAAUCACUGGGCUUAAAGCGCGUGUAGGCGGGUGCCUAAGUACCUUGUGAAAUCCCACGGCUCAACCGUGGAACUGCUGGGUAUACUGGGUGCCUUGGGUCAUCUAGGGGCUGCCGGAACAAAUGGUGGAGCGGUGAAAUGCGUAGAUAUCAUUUGGAACACCAGCGGCGAAAGCGAGGUCCUAGGCUCGUACUGACGCUGAGGCGCGAAAGCCAGGGGAGCGAACGGGAUUAGAUACCCCGGUAGUCCUGGCCGUAAACGAUGGGCACUAAGUAGAGGGGUUUU
rnacentral:rRNA from 1 species